rnacentral:rRNA from 1 species
UACGGAGGGUGCAAGCGUUAAUCGGAAUUACUGGGCGUAAAGCGCGCGUAGGCGGUGAGGUAAGUCAGAUGUGAAAGCCCCGGGCUUAACCUGGGAACUGCAUUUGAUACUGCCUGACUCGAGUAUGGUAGAGGGGGGUGGAAUUCCCGGAGUAGCGGUGAAAUGCGUAGAUAUCGGGAGGAACACCAGUGGCGAAGGCGGCCCCCUGGACCAAUACUGACGCUGAGGUGCGAAAGCGUGGGGAGCAAACAGG